GGAUGGCCACCAGGAGACGUUACGAGUCAUCCGGGGAUUGGCCAUUUCCGGGCGUUGGCCCAAUGAGCAGCAGCAGACACAGGGCAAACACGAAAGAGCAGUUACUCUGCGCAAAUAUCGUAGCAUAAACUGGUCAUAUAUCUCCAAUCUCCAAUCCCUUAUCACAGCGACCUAACCCACUGAACUCUUGGACUUCAGAUAAGGUGGGCAGUGUGCAGUUAAUAUGGGUUCUUAACAUAUAUGUCUUAAAUGUUAUGUUUAUAAUAGGUUUUAAGAUUUAAGAGCUUUGUUUUCUCUUCAAGCAUUUAAAACACAGAUCGCUUGCAGCGGAAAUAAAAUGAUUUGAUAGCAA
rnacentral:sRNA from 1 species